CCAGCUCAGCGGCUUGAUUACAUAUCCUAGGGUUGGUCAAAGAUGAUUGCUCUGGGCUAUGAUUCAGACAUGCUCUCAGAGACCUCACCAGCUCCUGAUGUCAUCCCUGAAAAUGGGUCCUGAUGUGGCCUUUGUAUGAGAGACUAGGCAAGAAGCAGGACAUCUCUUGCCACCAUAGAGCUAGAAGGUCCAUAUCAACCCAACCCAGCCUAAUCAUACCAAGACUUGAAGGACUGACACAAUGGUGGAGAUAUCCGGACAGACGCCUUCAGUUCUCCGUCAAAACCCAAAGGACCUAUUUCCUCCGUGGCUGCUGGCAGGCUGUCAGACCGCACGAGGAUUACCUCCGUGGAAAAGAAUUCGAUCCCCUAAGGACAAGCCCGGCUACUGGAGAAGUCUGAAUCCGGACGCUGGCUGCUGUAAGACAUCAGACACGAUACUUACUUAGUUCAUCCGAGUUUCAGAUAGACGAUGAUACAAGUGUGCGGUAAAGCCGGGGUCACCUGCUAAAAGUUACUCACUGUUUAAAUAAAGCUCAGGUCUGAUUGGA